rnacentral:rRNA from 1 species
UGGGGAAUAUUGGACAAUGGGCGCAAGCCUGAUCCAGCAACGCCGCGUGGAGGACGAAGGUCUUCGGAUCGUAAACUCCUGUCAGGCGGGACGAAGGCUUCCGGGCAAAUAGUCUGGAAGCUUGACGGUACUGCCAGAGGAAGCCCCGGCUAACUCCGUGCCAGCAGCCGCGGUAAUACGGAGGGGGCUAGCGUUAUUCGGAAUUAUUGGGCGUAAAGAGCUCGUAGGCGGCCUGUCGCGUCUGCUGUGAAAGCCCGGGGCUUAACUCCGGGUCUGCAGUGGAUACGGGCAGGCUAGAGGCCGGUAGGGGAAAGUGGAAUUCCUGGUGUAGCGGUGAAAUGCGCAGAUAUCAGGAGGAACACCGGUGGCGAAGGCGGCUUUCUGGGCCGGGCCUGACGCUGAGGAGCGAAAGCGUGGGGAGCGAA